rnacentral:rRNA from 1 species
UACGAAGGGUGCUAGCGUUGUUCGGAAUUACUGGGCGUAAAGCGCGCGUAGGCGGCUUCUCAAGUCAGGGGUGAAAUCCCACAGCUCAACUGUGGAAUUGCCUUUGAAACUGUGAAGCUAGAGUGUCGGAGGGGAUAGCGGAAUUGCUAAUGUAGAGGUGAAAUUCGUAGAUAUUAGCAGGAACACCGGUGGCGAAGGCGGCUAUCUGGACGACAACUGACGCUGAGGCGCGAAAGCGUGGGGAUCAAACAGG